rnacentral:rRNA from 1 species
CACUCCUACGGGAGGCAGCAGUGGGGAAUAUUGGACAAUGGGCGCAAGCCUGAUCCAGCCAUGCCGCGUGAGUGAUGAAGGCCCUAGGGUUGUAAAGCUCUUUCACCGGUGAAGAUAAUGACGGUAACCGGAGAAGAAGCCCCGGCUAACUUCGUGCCAGCAGCCGCGGUAAUACGAAGGGGGCUAGCGUUGUUCGGAUUUACUGGGCGUAAAGCGCACGUAGGCGGACUAUUAAGUCAGGGGUGAAAUCCCGGGGCUCAACCCCGGAACUGCCUUUGAUACUGGUAGUCUUGAGUUCGAGAGAGGUGAGUGGAAUUCCGAGUGUAGAGGUGAAAUUCGUAGAUAUUCGGAGGAACACCAGUGGCGAAGGCGGCUCACUGGCUCGAUACUGACGCUGAGGUGCGAAAGCGUGGGGAGCAAACAGGAUUAGAAACCCUUGUAGUCCCAUG